rnacentral:rRNA from 1 species
UUCCAUCAGCGACCCCAGGUCAGGCG